AAUUACUGAAUUGGUUGUGUAUUAUUUAACCAAAUGGCUUUGUCAGGCGUCGGGGUGCGGCAGUGAAUAGUGGUCUCAGUCGGCAUGAUAGAUGUUUAGGGAUAGUUUAAUAUAUUAUAUUUAAAAAAUGCACGUAUCUCGCAAAAUAGGUAAGCCACUGUUUUAGGUGAAAAGUUGAGAGGGUGUGAUAUUAAGUGGAAUAUAAUUUAUAUCUGUGUGUAACGAUAAAUCGUUUCUAACAAAAAAUUAUUUGGCGCGAAGCUUUGUUAUACGCGUUUUAAAAUGCCGUAAUAUUUACGAUUUUCGUCAAAUUUUUUUAUUAAAAUUCUUACUACACAUGUAUACAUAAAUACUAAAUUAA